rnacentral:rRNA from 1 species
UACAGAGGUCCCAAGCGUUGUUCGGAUUUACUGGGCGUAAAGGGUGCGUAGGCGGUCGGGUAAGUCUGAUGUGAAAUCUCAGAGCUCAACUCUGAAACUGCAUUGGAUACUAUUCGGCUUGAGGUCUGGAGGGGGGACUGGAAUUCUCGGUGUAGCAGUGAAAUGCGUAGAUAUCGAGAGGAACACCAGUGGCGAAGGCGGGUCUCGGGACAGUUCCUGACACUGAGACACGAAGGCCAGGGGAGCAAACGGG